UGAAACAUCUAAGUACCUGAAGGAAGAGAAAGAAAUUCGAUUCCGUAAGUAGCGGCGAGCGAACGCGGAUUAGCCCAAACCAAUAAAGUUUUCUUUAUUGGGGGUGCGGACAUAUCAUAACGAAGAGGUAUCGUAAUUGAAGAGGUUUGGAAAGACCCACCACAGAAGGUAAUAGUCCUGUAUGUUAAACGAGAAGACUUCAGAUAUGAUCCAGAGUACCACGGGACACGU
rnacentral:rRNA from 1 species